AUUGAACGCUGGCGGCAGGCCUAACACAUGCAAGUCGAACGAGUGGCGGACGGGUGAGUAAUGUCUGGGAAACUGCCCGAUGGAGGGGGAUAACUAAUGGAAACGGGAGCUAAUACCGCAUACCCACGGGUGUGCCCAGAGGGGAUUGGCUAGUAGGUGGGGUAACGGCUCACCUAGGCGACGAUCCCUAGCUGGUCUGAGAGGAUGACCAGCCACCCGGGACCUGAGACACGGUCCAGACUCCUACGGGAGGCAGCAGUGGGGAAUAUUGCACAAUGGGCGCAAGCCUGAUGCAGCCAUGCCGCGUGUAUGAAGAGGGCCUUCGGGUUUUAAAGUACUUUCAGCGAGGAGGCGUUACUCGCAGAAGAAGCACCGGCUAACUCCGUGCCAGCAGCCGCGGUAAUAC
rnacentral:rRNA from 1 species